UUGGAGGGCAAGUCUGGUGCCAGCAGCCGCGGUAAUUCCAGCUCCAAUAGCGUAUAUUAAAGUUGUUGCAGUUAAAAAGCUCGUAGUUGAAUUUUGGAUUCUUCCAAUUGGUCCAUCUUUUAGAUGAGUACUGGUUGUGUGGGGUCUAUCCGCCUGGUGAUACGUAAUGUCCUUUAUUGGAUGUUGCGGGUAGUCAGGACCUUUACCUUGAAAAAAUUAGAGUGUUUAAAGCAGGCUUAUGCCGGAAUACAUUAGCAUGGAAUAAUAGAAUAGGACGAAGUUGUUCUAUUUUGUUGGUUUCUAGGACAACCGUAAUGAUUAAUAGGGAUAGUUGGGGGCAUUAGUAUUCAAUUGUCAGAGGUGAAAUUCUUGGAUUUAUUGAAGACUAACUACUGCGAAAGCAUUUGCCAAGGAUGUUUUCAUUAAUCAGUGAACGAAAGUUAGGGGAUCGAAGACGAUCAGAUACCGUCGUAGUCUUAACCAUAAACUAUGCCGACUAGGGAUCGGGCGAUGUUUCUAUCUUGACUCGCUCGGCACCCUAUGGGAAACCAAAG
rnacentral:rRNA from 1 species